rnacentral:rRNA from 1 species
GAUGAACGCUGGCGGCGUGCCUAAUACAUGCAAGUCGAGCGAACAGACGAGGAGCUUGCUCCUCUGACGUUAGCGGCGGACGGGUGAGUAGCACGUGGAUAACCUACCUAUAAGACUGGGAUAACUUCGGGAAACCGGAGCUAAUACCGGAUAAUAUAUUGAACCGCAUGGUUCAAUAGUGAAAGACGGUUUUGCUGUCACUUAUAGAUGGAUCCGCGCCGCAUUAGCUAGUUGGUAAGGUAACGGCUUACCAAGGCAACGAUGCGUAGCCGACCUGAGAGGGUGAUCGGCCACACUGGAACUGAGACACGGUCCAGACUCCUACGGGAGGCAGCAGUGGGGAAUCUUCCGCAAUGGGCGAAAGCCUGACGGAGCAACGCCGCGUGAGUGAUGAAGGUCUUCGGAUCGUAAAACUCUGUUAUUAGGGAAGAACAAAUGUGUAAGUAACUAUGCACGUCUUGACGGUACCUAAUCAGAAAGCCACGGCUAACUACGUG